AUCUAGAGUCAGGUUGGUUGCUGUUUGUUAGCAGGCAUGGUCAAAGAAGAAACAAAAGGAAAGAAAUUAAAUUCAGUGAUUUUUUUUUUCUAAUUUCUCUCUCCCCUAUCUCCUUGUAUCUCUCCUAUGUAGUGUUAAAGGGUGAAACCGGGAAUGGAGGAAAAAUAAAGGAUGGAAAAAGAAGAAUCUACAAACUAGCAAAGACCAGCUCUUUCAUGGGAGCAACUGGACUGUAUUUGUCACAAGUGUGCUGAGCAGUGCCAGAGCAUCAGAGCCAAUGACCUGAAGAGAAAGCCAAAGGCAAUGAGACUCCUGCCUUCUAGCACUAAGCCUGUCUUCACAGGGCCAGGCUCCCAUGGCUGAGUCCUCAUUCUGCGUUAAUUGAAGU
rnacentral:lncRNA from 1 species